GACGAACGCUGGCGGCGUGCCUAAUACAUGCCAGUAGAACGCUGAAGGAGGAGCUUGCUUCUCUGGAUGAGUUGCGAACGGGUGAGUAACGCGUAGGUAACCUGCCUGGUAGCGGGGGAUAACUAUUGGAAACGAUAGCUAAUACCGCAUAAGAGUAGAUGUUGCAUGACAUUUGCUUAAAAGGUGCAAUUGCAUCACUACCAGAUGGACCUGCGUUGUAUUAGCUAGUUGGUGGGGUAACGGCUCACCAAGGCGACGAUACAUAGCCGACCUGAGAGGGUGAUCGGCCACACUGGGACUGAGACACGGCCCAGACUCCUACGGGAGGCAGCAGUAGGGAAUCUUCGGCAAUGGACGGAAGUCUGACCGAGCAACGCCGCGUGAGUGAAGAAGGUUUUCGGAUCGUAAAGCUCUGUUGUAAGAGAAGAACGAGUGUGAGAGUGGAAAGUUCACACUGUGACGGUAGCUUACCAGAAAGGGACGGCUAACUACGUG
rnacentral:rRNA from 1 species